rnacentral:rRNA from 1 species
GGGCCCGCACAAGCGGUGGAGUAUGUGGUUUAAUUCGAAGAUACGCGCAGAACCUUACCAACACUUGACAUGUUCGUCGCGACUUUAAGAGAUUAAAGUUUUCGGUUCGGCCGGACGAAACACAGGUGCUGCAUGGCUGUCGUCAGCUCGUGUCGUGAGAUGUUGGGUUAAGUCCCGCAACGAGCGCAACCCUCACUUUUAGUUGCCAUCAUUAAGUUGGGCACUCUGAAAGAACUGCCAGUGAUAAGCUGGAGGAAGGUGGGGAUGACGUCAAGUCCUCAUGGCCCUUACGUGUUGGGCUACACACGUGCUACAAUGGUAUUUACAACAGGAAGCAAAACGGCAACGUUAAGCAAAUCCUAAAAAAUACCUCAGUUCGGAUUGCACUCUGCAACUCGAGUGCAUGAAGCUGGAAUUACUAGUAAUCGUGGAU